CCUACGUGGCCCUAGUACUCAGCAUCACUCUGGGGGACCAGCUGAACGAGCGCGUGGCCUACCACCGGCUGGCCGCCCUGCACCAUCAGCUGGGCCAUGGCAAGCUGGCGGAGCACUUCUACCUCAAGGCCCUGUAGCUCUGCAGCUCGCCGCUGGAGUUCAACGAGGAGACCCUCUACUACGUGAAGGUGAACCUGGUGCUCGGUGACAUCAUCUUCUACGACCUGAAGGACCCGUUUGAUGCAGCCGGGUACUACCAGCUGGCACUGGCAGCCGCCGUGCACCUGGGCAACAUGAAGGCACAGCUGAAGAUCUACACGCGGCCGGCCACCAUCUACCAGAACUUCCUCCUGGACCGUGAGAAGUCGCUCCUCUCCUACCAGAAGGCCAGGACCUUC